rnacentral:rRNA from 1 species
GAUGAACGCUGGCGGCGUGCCUAAUACAUGCAAGUCGAGCGAACAGACGAGGAGCUUGCUCCUCUGACGUUAGCGGCGGACGGGUGAGUAACACGUGGAUAACCUACCUAUAAGACUGGGAUAACUUCGGGAAACCGGAGCUAAUACCGGAUAAUAUAUUGAACCGCAUGGUUCAAUAGUGAAAGACGGUUUUGCUGUCACUUAUAGAUGGAUCCGCGCCGCAUUAGCUAGUUGGUAAGGUAACGGCUUACCAAGGCGACGAUGCGUAGCCGACCUGAGAGAGUGAUCGGCCACACUGGAACUGAGACACGGUCCAGACUCCUACGGGAGGCAGCAGUAGGGAAUCUUCCGCAAUGGGCGAAAGCCUGACGGAGCAACGCCGCGUGAGUGAUGAAGGUCUUCGGAUCGGAAAACUCUGUUAUUAGGGAAGAACAAAUGUGUAAGUAACUAUGCACGUCUUGACGGUACCUAAUCAGAAAGCCACGGCUAACUACGUG